rnacentral:ncRNA from 2 species
CAACGUUCUCAGGGCGGGGUGAAAUUCCCCACCGGCGGUAACCUGGAAAUUUGAGGUCAAAUUCCGGGAAAGCCCGCGAGCGCUUUGCAGCUUUUUGCGCAAAGGUCAGCAGAUCUGGUGAAACUCCAGAGCCGACGGUUACAGUCCGGAUGGAAGAGAAUAAGC